AGCAGUGAGGAAUAUUGGACAAUGGGUGAGAGCCUGAUCCAGCCAUCCCGCGUGAAGGACGACGGCCCUAUGGGUUGUAAACUUCUUUUGUACAGGGAUAAACCUACCCUCGUGAGGGUAGCUGAAGGUACUGUACGAAUAAGCACCGGCUAACUCCGUGCCAGCAGCCGCGGUAAUACGGAGGGUGCAAGCGUUAUCCGGAUUUAUUGGGUCUAAAGGGUCCGUAGGCGGAUGUGUAAGUCAGUGGUGAAAUCUCACAGCUUAACUGUGAAACUGCCAUUGAUACUGCAUGUCUUGAGUGUUGUUGAAGUAGCUGGAAUAAGUAGUGUAGCGGUGAAAUGCAUAGAUAUUACUUAGAGCACCAAUUGCGAAGGCAGGUU
rnacentral:rRNA from 1 species